UGGUAGUCCCGGCUGACUGUACUGUCACGUCGUCGCGCAGACAGAUAGGGAGCUUGCUCCCGUGAUGUUAGCGGCGGACGGGUGAGUAACACGUGGGUAACCUGCCUGUAAGACUGGGAUAACUCCGGGAAACCGGGGCUAAUACCGGAUAGUUCCUUGAACCGCAUGGUUCAAGGAUGAAAGACGGUUUCGGCUGUCACUUACAGAUGGACCCGCGGCGCAAUAGCUAGUUGGUGGGGUAAUGGCUCACCAAGGCGACCAUGCGUAACCCACCUGAAAGGGUGAUCGGCCACACUGGGACUGAGACACGGCCCAAACUCCUACGGGAGGCAGCAGUAGGGAAUCUUCCGCAAUGGACGAAAGUCUGACGGAACAACGCCCCGUGAGUGAUGAAGGUUUUCGGAUCGUAAAGCUCUGUUGUUAGGGAAGAACAAGUGCGAGAGUAACUGCUCGCACCUUGACGGUACCUAACCAGAAAGCCACGGCUAAAUACGUGCCAGCAGCCGCGGUAAUACGUAGGUGGCAAGCGUUGUCCGGAAUUAUUGGGCGUAAAGGGCUCGCACGCGGUUUCUUAAGUCUGAUGUGAAAGCCCCCGGGUCAACCGGGGAGGGUCAUUGGAAACUGGGAAACUUGAGUGCACAAAAGGAGAGUGGAAUUCCACGUGUAGCGGUGAAAUGCGUAUAGAUGUGGAGGAACACCACUGGCGAAAGCGACUCUCUGGGCUGUAACUGACACUCAGGAGCGAAAACGUGGGGAGCGAACAGGAUUAUAUACCCUGGUAGUCCACGCCGUAUACGAUGAGUGCUAAAUGUUAGGGGGUUUCCGCCCCUUAUUGCUGCAGCUAACACAUUAAACACUCCCCCUGGGGAGUACAGUCUCAAGACUGUAACUCUCAGGAAUUGACAGGGGCCCCCACAAACGGUGGAGCAUGUGGUUUAUUCUGAAGCACCGCGGAGAAACUUACCGGGUCUUGACAUCCCCUGACAACCCUAGAGAUAGGGCUUUCCCUCCGGGGACAAAAUGACAAGUGGUGCAUGGUUUUCGUCACCUCCCGUCCUGGAAAGUUGGGUUAAGUCCCCCACCAAGCGCAACCCUUGAUCUUAUUUGCCACAAUUCAUUUGGGCACUCUAAGGUGACUGCCGGUGACAAACCCAAGAAAGGUGGGGAUAAAUUCAAAAAACUAUGGCCCUUUAAACCUGGGUUACCCUGGUGGUUCAAAUGGGGGAAAAAAGGGAUGCAUAACCCCCAGGGUUACCCAAUCCCACAAAAUUUUUUCCAUUUGGAAUCACCUUUUGACUCCCUCCUUAGACAGGCCGGAAUCGCUUGUAAUCGCGGAUCAGCAUGCCGCGGUGAAUACGUUCCCGGGCCUUGUACACACCGCCCGUCACACCCCGAGAGUUGCAACACCCGAAGUUGGUGAGGAUCUUUUAGGAGCCAGCCGCUAGAGUUACGAGCAUGACCCUCCCC
rnacentral:rRNA from 1 species